GGCUGGAUAGCUCAGUUGGUAAGAGCAUGGUCCUGAUACUCCAAGGUUGUGGGUUCAAUUCC
rnacentral:tRNA from 1 species